ACCUCCUAUGUGCAUGGAUUACA
rnacentral:miRNA from 17 species